GGUUCCCUCCUUUUUCUUUCCCCGUGUAAGCAACUGACUUAUGUCAUGGUUUGAUCUCCUACGACAUCUGAUCAAAUGAUUUCUCAAAUGUGAAGUACCACUGGUGCUAGAACCGCUAAGUUUCCUUUUACAGUGCCUACAGAUAGCCACAAAAGUAUCACCUUUUUUUACUCUAUCAACAAUCUCCUACGACAUCUGAUCAAAUGAUUUCUCAAAUGUGAAGUCCCACUGGUGCUAGACCCGCUAAGUUUCCUUUUACAGUGCCUACAGAUAGCCACAAAAGUAUCACCUUUUUUCACUCUAUCAAAAUCAUUCCACACAACAGAUUUUAGUCUACUAGAAUUCACUACAACUGCUUCCUCAGCUAUCUCCAUUGCUUCCGACUGUAGCAAU
rnacentral:lncRNA from 1 species